rnacentral:lncRNA from 1 species
AUGGAUAAACAAAUGAUAAAGAUUGGCUUAUUGAAUAUCAGAUCCAUUUCUACGAAAACACUUUUUGUAAAUAAUAUGAUAACUGAUCAUAAUAUAGAUGUGCUCUGCUUGACAGAAACCUGGCUAAAACCUGAUGAUUACAUUAUUUUAAAUGAGUCCACCCCCCAAGAUUAUUGUUAUAAACACGAGCCGCGUCUAAAAGGCAAAGGGGGAGGUGUUGCUUCAAUUUAUAAUAACGUUUUCAGGAUUUCUCAGAGGGCAGGCUUCAAGUAUAACUCGUUUGAAGUAAUGGUGCUUCAUAUAACAUUAUCCAGAGAAACCAAUGUUAAUGAUAAAUCCCCUGUUAUGUUUGUACUGGCUACUGUAUACAGGCCACCAGGGCACCAUACAGACUUUAUUAAAGAGUUUGGUGAUUUUACAUCUGAGUUAGUUCUGGCUGCAGAUAAAGUCUUAAUAGUUGGUGAUUUUAAUAUCCAUGUCGAUAAUGAAAAAGAUGUAUUGGGAUCAGCAUUUAUAGACAUUCUGAACUCUAUUGGUGUUAGACAACACGUUUCAGGACCUACUCAUUGUCGAAAUCAUACUCUAGAUUUAAUACUGUCACAUGGAAUUGAUGUUGAUAGUGUUGAAAUUAUUCAGCCAAGUGAUGAUAUCUCAGAUCAUUAUUUAGUUCUGUGUAAACUUCAUAUAGCCAAAAUUGUAAAUUCUACUUCUUGUUACAAGUAUCGAAGAACCAUCACUUCUACCACAAAAGACUGCUUUUUAAGUUAUCUUCCUGAUGUAUCCGAAUUCCUUAGCAUAUCCAAAACCUCAGAACAACUUGAUGAUGUAACAGAAACUAUGGACUCUCUCUUUUCUAGCACUUUAAAUACAGUUGCUCCUUUACGCUUAAGAAAGGUUAAGGAAAACAGUUUGACACCAUGGUAUAAUGAGCAUACUCGCACCCUAAAGAGAGCAGCCCGAAAAAUGGAGCGCAGCUGGAGGAAAACAAAACUAGAGGUAUUUCGUAUUGCUUGGCGGGAAAGUAGCAUAUCCUACCGAAAAGCAUUAAAAACUGCUAGAUCUGAUUACUUUUCUUCUCUUUUAGAAGAAAACAAACAUAACCCCAGGUAUUUAUUCAAUACAGUGGCUAAAUUAACGAAAAAUAAAGCCUCAACAAGUGUUGACAUUUUGCCAACACCACAGCAGUAA